rnacentral:rRNA from 1 species
UACGUAGGCAGCAAGCGUUGUUCGGAGUUACUGGGCGUAAAGGGUGCGUAGGCGGCCUUAUAAGUAUGGUGUGAAAUCUCCCGGCUUAACUGGGAGGGUGCGCUAUAGACUGUGGGGCUAGAGUGUGGGAGAGGAAAGUGGAAUUCCUGGUGUAGCGGUGAAAUUCGUAGAUAUUAGGAAGAACACCAGUGGCGAAGGCGACUCACUGGUCCGGUACUGACGCUGAGGUGCGAAAGCGUGGGGAGCGAACAGG